rnacentral:sRNA from 1 species
UAGGUGUACUUCAUUAAUCUGUCUGUUACCGUUAAGAUAGAGUCAUAGUGUAUACCUGUUCGAGGUUCUCUUGACUUUGGCAAUUUGACAAUAAAGUCCAUUGCUAUCAAUGCCCAUGGUUUUCAUAAAACUGGUAUUGGCUGCAUCUUUCCGUACAGCGCGUGUCUGCUUGAUUUGCUUUGUUGACACAUGUCGCAAUUCUGUACAUAUUCUCGAAUAUCUUUCCACAUUCCUGGCCAGUAGUAUAUUCUGGUGAUUCUUUCCAUUAUUUUAUCAGUUCCGAAAUGUCCUGCAGUUACCGCG